CUUUACUGUAACUUGAGAUUGAAAUUGGACUUUACUUGCGCAGUAUAGGUGGGAGGCGUUGAGAAUAUUCUUGCGGGAAUAUUGGAGCCAUCAGUGAGAUACCACUCUGGUAAUGUUAGAUUUCUAACUUUGAAUCAUUAUCUGGUCAAAGAACAGUUUCAGGCGGGCAGUUUGACUGGGGCGGUCGCCUCCUAAACGGUAACGGAGGCGCACAAAGGUUUCCUCUGAACGGGUAGAAAUCGUAUCUAGAGUGUAAAGGCAUAAGGAAGCUUGACUGUGAGACCUACAAGUCGAGCAGGGACGAAAGUCGGUCUUAGUGAUCUGACGGUGCUGAGUGGAAAGGCCGUCACUCAACGGAUAAAAGUUA
rnacentral:rRNA from 1 species